GCUUUUGGGGGCGGGGAGCCUGUACGCAGCCACCCUUGGGGUCACUCGGCUCUGAUCUAGGUCCCAUCCGCCUCCUCCACGCCUUCUCCAGUUCCUUCCCUUGCGUCUUGUGCUCGAGGUCCAAGGGCGGAGUAGCGGAGCCCUUCCUGACACCCGACUCCUUCCCCAGGAGCAGCAGGUGGAUGGCGACCUGCUUCUGCGGCUCACGGAGGAGGAACUCCAGACCGACCUGGGCAUGAAAUCGGGCAUCACCCGCAAGAGGUUCUUUAGGGAGCUCACGGAGCUCAAGACCUUCGCCAACUAUUCUACGUGCGACCGCAGCAACCUGGCCGACUGGCUGGGCAGCCUGGACCCGCGCUUCCGCCAGUACACCUACGGCCUGGUCAGUUGCGGCCUGGACCGCUCCCUGCUGCACCGCGUGUCUGAGCAGCAGCUGCUGGAAGACUGCGGCAUCCACCUGGGCGUGCACCGCGCCCGCAUCCUCACGGCGGCCAGAGAAAUGCUACACUCCCCGCUGCCCUGUACUGGUGGCAAACCCAGUGGGGACACUCCAGAUGUCUUCAUCAGCUACCGCCGGAACUCAGGUUCCCAGCUGGCCAGGUGAGGAGGGGCAGGCGGGCAGCGGCGGGGUGUGGGGACAAGGCUGUGGCACUGACACAGGACCUGCUUGCAGCCUCCUGAAGGUGCACCUGCAGCUGCAUGGCUUCAGUGUCUUCAUUGAUGUGGAGAAGCUGGAAGCAGGCAAGUUCGAGGACAAACUCAUCCAGAGUGUCAUGGGUGCCCGUAACUUUGUGCUGGUGCUGUCACCUGGAGCACUGGAUAAGUGCAUGCAAGACCAUGACUGCAAGGAUUGGGUGCAUAAGGAGAUUGUGACUGCUUUAAGCUGUGGCAAGAACAUUGUGCCCAUCAUUGAUGGCUUCGAGUGGCCUGAGCCCCAGGUCCUGCCUGAGGACAUGCAGGCUGUGCUUACUUUCAACGGUAUCAAGUGGUCCCACGAAUACCAGGAGGCCACCAUUGAGAAGAUCAUCCGCUUCCUGCAGGGUCGCUCCUCCCGGGACUCAUCUGCAGGCUCUGACACCAGUUUGGAGGGUGCUGCACCCAUGGGUCCGACCUAACCAGUCCCCAGUUCCCCAGCCCUGCUGUGACUUCCAUUUCCAUCGUCCUUUCUGAAGGAACAGCUCCUGAAACCGGUCUCCCUGGGCUGAGACAACCUGGGCUCUUCUUAGGAAAUGGCUCUCCCUCUCCCUGUCCCCCACCCUCGUGGCCCACCUCCAACCCACUUUCCUCAAUAUCUGGAGAGGGAAGGGAAGUCAGGCUUGGGUGCGGGAGGUUAGAACUCCCCCAGGCCCUGCCAUUGGGUUGUCUGUCUCCGUCAUGGGGAGGGUCCCUGUUCAGUUCUGGAGACACUGGAGUUGGGGUGGGGGUGGUUCUGCAUUCCCUUCUCCUGCUCUGAUAGCAGCCAGCUUGAGGAGGAUGAAGGAAGGUAGCCUCAAACAGGAAUUAAGGCAAUGCCCAGGCGGGCCUGGGCACUGUAUUCUGAGCAAAGGCCUGGGCCCAGGAGCCAGCCAGGGAUGAGUGCCAUCAUGGCUCUCCACUCAGACCGUGCCUGGCCCCUGCACUUACAACUUCCUGCCACUCUGUGGCCUUGCCCUGUAAUCACUCAGUGCCCUUAGCUAGCCUAAGUCCCAGAUCCCCUACAGCUUCCUUCGGUGUGGUAUCUUUUGCCACAUCCAGGGCGAGGGUUGAGGCAAACCAGCCCUCCCUCUGACUUCCUUGUCACUGCAGCCAGCUUUGCUGCACUUGCUGGUGCACAGGAGCCUCCUGUUUGGACCUGGGUCUGGGCAUGGGGAGGCCAUGCCUCAAAGCCCACCCUACCCCAUGCCUUGGUGCUGUGCCUCAGGCUCCUUCCUGGUCUGGCCCAGCUGGCUUCCCCAGCCCCUCAGCCAUCCAGGGCUACCCACCGCUUGCUCAGGGACCAGGCAGCCCCCCAUGGCAGUAAAAGCAGCCUAGACAGAACCUGCAGCUCUGUGGAAAGAGGCAAAGUCCUGAAAAGGCAAAGGGUUGUCACUUAGGGCAGCUUCUCCAACUUUAACGUGCAUCCAAGUCACCUGGGAAUGUUGUUAAAAUCAGGAGAUCUGGGGUGGGGCCUAGGACUCUGCAUUUCUUACAGAUUCCCAGGUGAGCUGAUGCUGGUGGUUAAGGGUAGCAAAUCUCUAAAGCACGAAGCCCUCACAAAUCUUUGCCAUUUCCCAAACACUCUGCUCCAUGGUCUCCAGUCAUCAGAACAACUCUACCUGGUAUUAUCAUCCCCAUUUUACAGAUAAUGACACUGAGGCUCAGAAAGGUUGAGGAUAAGCCCAGUUUCCUGUCAUUAGUGGCAGCCCCAGAUCCAGACCUAGGCCUCCUGGCACCCCGUCCACUGGCAGUGGAAUUGCUUUCCUGAGAAUCAUUCUGAGGCUGGGCUAUUGCUUCUCCCUUGCUUCAAAGAAUCUAGCAGCGGGGGAUAGGAUUUUGCAACAAAAAGCUGACCCAGAGGCCAUACAGAGCAGGAAUAUCCCGUUGCCCCCUCCUCCACUGGGUUCAGAGGGCAACAAAGUACCCUCCAAUAAACCCAGGCUCCAGGCCGUGGGGGCUGCUGAAGGCUCUUUCCCCGCAAGGGCCAAGUGUUGACACCUUAAAGCUGGCUGCGCCCCCAGCCCCACUCUUGGCUGUGCUGGCCAGGUGACUUCUAGUUCUUGGCCACAUCAUCAGAGAGUCAAAAGGUCUCACUCCAGGUUUGGGGCUCCUUCCUUCCACUCCCCUCCCUGCCAGAGUCUGUCUUGGCCAGUGCCAGCCUCGAUGCUUUGGUUUUGACCCCACCUGAUCCCCCUUUCCUCAUGCAGCACAAGUGCUCACCGGGGCCAGAGCCAGGGCAUGGAUAUGACAAGCAGGGCAGCCUGGACACUGCCCUCACAGGACAGCGUCAAUAACAAUACAGUGUAAUACAGUGUCUGAGUAUCUCC
rnacentral:sRNA from 1 species